GAUGAACGCUAGCUACAGGCUUAACACAUGCAAGUCGAGGGGAAACGACAUCGAAAGCUCGCUUUUGAUGGGCGUCGACCGGCGCACGGGUGAGUAACGCGUAUCCAACCUGCCCACCACUUGGGGAUAACCUUGCGAAAGUAAGACUAAUACCCAAUGACGUCUCUAGAAGACAUCUGAAGGAGAUUAAAGAUUUAUCGGUGAUGGAUGGGGAUGCGUCUGAUUAGCUUGUUGGCGGGGUAACGGCCCACCAAGGCGACGAUCAGUAGGGGUACUGGGGGAAAGGUCCCCCACGUUGGAACUAAGACACGGUCCAAACUCCUACGGGAGGCAGCAGUGGGGAAUAUUGGUCAAUGGGCGAGAGCCUGAACCAGCCAAGUAGCGUGCAGGAUGACGGCCCUAUGGGUUGUAAACUGCUUUUAUAAGGGAAUAAAGUGAGUCUCGUGAGACUUUUUGCAUGUACCUUAUGAAUAAGGACCGGCUAAUUCCGUGCCAGCCGCCGCAGUAA
rnacentral:rRNA from 1 species